AUGGCAGCACGGGUGGUGACACACUUCCUUUCCCCAAAACCACUGAGGCAUGCCAGCAGCAGGGAAAUAGAGGCCUUCCCCAGAAAUCCCAUCUGGGGUCUGGAGGUGUUUGUUUCCCACAGCAAACCAGCCAUGGUCUCCUCCAUCUUUGCCCUCUCCCUCUGCAAUACAAAUGCAUCAGGUGUAUCUCCCAUCUGCCCCAUGGCAUCAUGCCCACUGGGCUGGGGACCAAAGGCAGAGCUUUCGGGACCCACCUGCCCCCCGCCGCUAGGGCGCAAGAGAGGCGGCAGAGAUGACAGCCUCCAUGCGACAAUCCCCGAAAAACCACCCCCCAACCCGCUGAGAAUGCUGAUCUUGAAAGCAGGCAGGCGAGCUGCCCCCACAGUCAGCUGGCGAGCACUCCCCGCUGCACGGAAGGAGACACCAGCUGCCGGAGCCACUGCUACAGAAUCAACGGGUCCGGGAUGGUCCGAGCUCAAACAAACAGCCAUUUCCAGGGCAGUCUCUGACGCCGACACGGAGGACAGAGUCUCCGACAGUGGCAGAACUGCUGGGGCAGCCGGUGCAAGCGGUGGGGGGGCUGGAGCCGGGGAGGAAAUCACGCUGUGUGUAGGAGCAGCCGCGGGCUGCUCCGAGAGUCCUGCAGGUUCAGCGCCGUCUCAGCACCAUCCUGAACAGGGACCGUCUCAGCUUGAGGCGGCGGGAAGGCCGGUGAAAGCGGUGGGGGGGGCCAAAGGGGCUGGAGAGAACUCCUCCUCUGCUGAGCCGGAAGCUGGAGACGCGUUGUUGUCGCCUAGCAACAGUGACUCAGCAGGCACAGGAAGCGCUGUUUCUGCGUUCUCAGAUGCAGGCGGGGAAGCCGGUGAAGCCGCGGGCGGGACUGCCUGGAGAGGCGGAGACGGGAUCGCCCGGAGAGGCGGCCGCGCCGGCGGGGCGGGCCGCAGGGCCUGGCAAGCGGGGGAGCCGCGGGGACCGGUGCCACCCCCAUCUCUGAGCGGGGCGGGGUCCGAGAGGCCGACUGUGGCAGGCCCGUCCACUCCCCUUCCCCCGUGCAUGUCCCGGAGAAAGAGUGAAAAAAACUUCUUCGCGUGGCGAAGUUUCACCCCCACCCCCCGCCGGGAAGCAGGGGGGGCUGGAAAGCAGAAUGUCGUCCCCCACUGGGUCUUCUCCCGCUGGGGAUGGGGGAAAAGGAGCCAGCCCAUAGCAGUUACAAAUCCAGGGAAAAACAGCUGCUUUCCGUUUCAAAACUGGGAAGAGCUUUCUAAAUGCUGGGUAGACAGGAGGGAAGUCGCAACCCUGACCCCAAACGAAUCAGAAAAUAAGAGUCCAUGCAUUCCCACACGAAAACAUCCAAGGCGUAUAGGACAUCAGUAA
rnacentral:lncRNA from 1 species